rnacentral:miRNA from 1 species
UUGGGUUGGCCAAAAAGUUCGUUCGGGUUUUUCCGUAACAUCUUACCAAAACACCCAAAAGAACUUUGUGGCCAAUCCAAU